AGCGAACGCUGGCGGCAGGCUUAACACAUGCAAGUCGAGCGGGCACUUCGGUGUCAGCGGCAGACGGGUGAGUAACACGUGGGAACGUACCCUUUGGUUCGGAAUAACGCUGGGAAACUAGCGCUAAUACCGGAUACGCCCUUUUGGGGAAAGGCUUGCUGCCGAAGGAUCGGCCCGCGUCUGAUUAGCUAGUUGGUGGGGUAAUGGCCUACCAAGGCGACGAUCAGUAGCUGGUCUGAGAGGAUGCUCAGCCACACUGGGACUGAGACACGGCCCAGACUCCUACGGGAGGCAGCAGAGGGGAAUAUUGGACAAUGGGCGCAAGCCUGAUCCAGCCAUGCCGCGUGAGUGAUGAAGGGCUUAGGGUUGUAAAGCUCUUUUGUCCGGGACGAUAAUGACGGUACCGGAAGAAUAAGCCCCGGCUAACUUCGUG
rnacentral:rRNA from 1 species